rnacentral:rRNA from 1 species
GAUGAACGCUGGCGGCGUGCCUAAUACAUGCAAGUAGAACGCUGAAGCUUGGUGCUUGCACCGAGCGGAUGAGUUGCGAACGGGUGAGUAACGCGUAGGUAACCUGCCUGGUAGCGGGGGAUAACUAUUGGAAACGAUAGCUAAUACCGCAUAACAGUAGAUAUUGCAUGAUAUCUGCUUGAAAGGUGCAAAUGCAUCACUACCAGAUGGACCUGCGUUGUAUUAGCUAGUUGGUGAGGUAACGGCUCACCAAGGCGACGAUACAUAGCCGACCUGAGAGGGUGAUCGGCCACACUGGGACUGAGACACGGCCCAGACUCCUACGGGAGGCAGCAGUAGGGAAUCUUCGGCAAUGGGGGGAACCCUGACCGAGCAACGCCGCGUGAGUGAAGAAGGUGUUCGGAUCGUAAAGCUCUGUUGUAAGAGAAGAACGAGUGUGAGAGUGGAAAGUUCACACUGUGACGGUAUCUUACCAGAAAGGGACGGCUAACUACGU